AGGAGGAAGAGAAGAGAAUGAAGAGGGGAGGAUACUAAAAGUGUGCUGUUGAUUUUCUACCUUAAUUUCGGUCUAUUUUUUAAUUAUUUAUGCGUUGUUUAUGUUUGUUUGUUUCAUGUAAAUGUCUUAAAACUAAAUUGUAUAGAUAGGUUCCAGUUCCAUGCAUUUUAAGUGUAAUUUAGUUUUUAUAAUCGCUGUAAAGCAUGAAGCUCCUGUUUCAACUCGUGGACUUAAAGCUGGAUCUUCUCCAGUUUCAGCACUAUAUUAGAGCCUAGAUCAGGACUGCAGAAAGGUUAUAAGAAGAUAAAAGAAGACUAAUGCCAAAUCUGAGCUACACUAACACUCCACUGAUGAGUUCAGGUCAACUUCUACACACUAUCCAGCAACAAUGGCUUCACCCAGACCCCGGCAUCGACGCGGAAGCAUGGAGCUGCCAACUAACAUGCUAUCUGAUGUUAUUCAUCUCACAGAUGAAUUGAAUAGACUUAAUGAGGACGUUUCCCUAGAAUGUAACAAGCAUAAAGAGAAAUUGAAUGAUGUCAUCAAUGAGUUUAAAAAUGGUAUCAGAUUUACUUCUUAUGCCAUCAGAGGAGGGGUAAUAGCUGGAGGAAUUGCAAUGGUGUUGUCAGCAUUAUCAUUUUAUAAUUUUAUAACUGAAAAAGAGAUUUCUUUAUUUUUUUCUGGAGUAGGGGCAAGUUUGGCUUUAGUUGGCAUAUCAUGUGCUGUUUUUGGACGAAACAGGAAAACACAGCAGAAGAAGAACUUAAAACAAUCUGUUGAAAAUAAUCUUAAGGGAUUUCAGGAUAAAAUGAACCCUAUUAUUGAGAUGAUGGAAAAAAUCUGUCAACGCACUGAGGAAAUAUUGAGAGACCCUUCACUAUCAGCCCACAAAACUAAAGCAUUAAGUGAACACUUUGCCCACUGCUUUGAAAAAAGGCAUCUCUUCCAGGAACAGGACAAGGGUAAAGUGGCUAAAAUUGGGCAUUUGUCUGGAAACAUUUCAGAAAUGAUCGCCAAGAUUAGUUCUGUGCCUGAUAUCCUCAAAGAGAUUAUCGAAGACAACGAGAGGAAACGUGCCAAACCUGCAAAACCCAGACAGGAACAAAUAAAUAAAAGAGAGUUUAAGGAGAAAGUAGAGAAAUUUCUAAAUGGCAUGCAGAAAGCAAUAUGUGAUUUAAGAAAUGGAGUGAAAGCAAUCAGCCAAACAACAGACAGUUUAUCAGAUAUUUUGAGUUGAACCUGACAAAUUGAAAAGUAUGAGCUGCUGAUACAGUCCUACAAUUAAUGUUAACAUUGUCAAAAUAAAUAUCUUGUUACUAUAUAUAUGGAAAUUGAUACUUUAUUAAAUGCAGAAAUCUAGGAUUAUUGUUUUUGUUUUGCAUUAUUGAUCAAAAGAAUAUGUUUUUAUUUUGUGUGUUUUAUGUGCUUUAUAUUAAUCACUUUAUAUAACAAAACAUGUAA